AUUUUAACUCUAGCCUACACAAACACCCACUACUACUCAAUUAUCUAAAACAUUUUUAUAUGCUAGUAAGGGCGACAGAAAACCUCUCAGCGCAAUAGAUAAAGUACUGUAAAGGAAAGAUGAAAUAGAAAUUAAAUAAAAUAAAAAUAUAAUAAAGCAAAGAUUAUAACUUAUACCUUUCGCAUAAUGAUCUAGCCAGUCCAUAUUAACAAAAAGAACUUUAGUUUUAUACCCCGAAACCAGACGAGCUACUUUUAGGCAGCAAUCCAUGAGCAAACUCUUCUCUGUGGCAAAAGAGUGAGAAGACCUUGAAGUAGAGGCGAAAAACCUAACGAGCCUGGAUAUAGCUGGUUACUUGAGAAURAAUUUAAGUUCAACUAAAAACACCAAUAUUAUUUAAAAAACAUGUUUUUAUUAUAAUUAAUUGAGGUACAGCCCAAUUAAUAAAGGAAACAACCUAAAUAAAUAAAUAAAGAUUAUAGUAUACCAAGACAAUAUAUGCUGUUGGCCUAAGAGCAGCCACCAUAAAUAGCGUUAAAGCUUAAUUAACAUAAAACUUCUUAUUUCAAUAAAUAAUCUAAAUUUAUUAUAACAAUCAAGUAAAUCUAUAUAAUAGAAAAAUUACUACUAGAAUAAGUAACAAGGAGAAUAUUCCCCUCUAAUAAUGCAAAUGUAAAUCAAAAUGAAUAAAUCACCGAUAAUUAACGAAUAUAUAUCUUUUCUAACAAGAAAAUAAGAUACCAAUUAACGUUAACCCAACACAGGAGCAUUUUAAAAAAAAUUAAAAGUUUGAGAAGGAACUCGGCAAAAUCUGAGCUUCGCCUGUUUACCAAAAACAUCGCCUCUUGACUAAUUAAUAUAAGAGGUACUGCCUGCCCAGUGACAUCUGUUUAACGGCCGCGGUAUUAUGACCGUGCAAAGGUAGCGUAAUCACUUGUCUAUUAAAUUUAGACCAGUAUGAAUGGCAAAACGAGAGCUCAACUGUCUCCUCAAAUUAAUUAGUGAAAUUGAUCUUUCCGUGCAGAAGCGGAAAUAGUAAUAUAAGACGAGAAGACCCUAUGGAGCUUCAAACCUAAAUUAAUUAUAAUAAUUUUAUAUUAAAAAAAUAAUAUAAUUAUAAGUUUUGGGUUGGGGCGACCACGGAGUAAAAAAGAACCUCCGAGAUGAAUUAAUUUAGAAAGACAUUUCAAAAAACCAAUAUAAUUGAUAUAAUUGACCCAAUAUUUGAUCAACGAACCAAGUUACCCUAGGGAUAACAGCGCAAUCCUUUCAUAGAGUUCCUAUCGACGAAUGGGUUUACGACCUCGAUGUUGGAUCAGGACCCCCAAACGGUGCAGCAGCUGUUAAAGGUUCGUUUGUUCAACGAUUAAAGUCCUACGUGAUCUGAGUUCAGACCGGAGUAAUCCAGGUCAGUUUCUAUCUAUAAAAAAUUUUUCCUAGUACGAAAGGACCGGAAAAAUAAGGCCAAUAAGAAACUUAAGCCUUCUUACUAACCUCUGAAACUAAAUAAAGAGGGACACCAAAACAAACACAAGCCUAGAUACGGCU
rnacentral:rRNA from 1 species